UCUCCUUGAGUUUCAUGAGUUUUGGCAUUUUCAGAAGACCCAAGUUCAUCUCCUUCACUGGCAGAGAUAUAGUCAUCAGAUUCAGAGCUAAAGUUGGUCUCCUUUGCUGAGAUUUACUGCAACUUCUCAUUCAAAGCUUUCCUCAGGAACCAGUAGCAACAGUUUUUUUUUGCUAGCAUUUUCUGGCGACGAAAUCUUGGUUUUAGGGUUUCAAUAUGUGGUGUGAAGAUGAGGUAGUGUUGGGUGAAACGGGUGGAGGUGUUCCAAGAUUGUCUUGGGGAUUUGUCAUGGUGAAGAAUUUUUUGAAACCUUAAGAGAAUUUUGGAGAAUUGUUUGGAGACGAGAGUGGAUGAUCAGGGGUUUUUGUGAAGAAUUGAUGGCUAUGAGUGACUUGUGG
rnacentral:lncRNA from 1 species